rnacentral:lncRNA from 1 species
GAGGUAGGAGAGGAACCAGACAGGUGAGCCCCGCCUGUCGGUGAGCAAGCCAAGCCCCCGAUUGGGGGAGAACCUGGUGCGUUUUCUUUCUAGUAAAACAUAAAUGGAUUGUAACCUUUCUGUGAAUGUGUUUUAUUUGAUGGAAAGUGUAUUCCGCACCAAGACAUUUUAUUUUAUAACUCAUUUAAAAAUGCAGAUUUGACAAAAUCUUUGUGUGGCUAUAACGUGUCAAAGAAAACUCCAAAUGGAGUGAUACUUUUUCCUACCUCUCUAAAAUAACCUCUAGUUUAUUUGCAAAUUUAUUUCAUAUUUUUUAAACAACUAUUAUGUGUUGUUUUGAAAUUAUUCGUUAAUUUAAUAUUUUCAAGAUACGAUUUUGGAGAGAGGAGACUUACUUCAAGAUUUUUGGGGUGCACACCACCCUCCUCAACUCCAAAGGCAAGCAUCUUGAACCCUAGUUUGUUUGGCUUGUGUAAUGUUUGCUGUGAUGAAAUGGACUUCGUGGUAUUAUUAUGCUUAUAAAAACCCCACACAAGAUCAUGCUUGCAUAAAUACUUGUAAUGAAAAUUCUGUUUGUUACUGAAUACAUGUGAUGCAAAGUUGAGUGGGUACUAACUCAUGCCUCGUAUGCCAUGCUAG